GCUCAUAGCAGAUGAAAAGAGUGAAUGUGGAAACCAUACUAUAAAGAUGUAGAGCCCAAGAUUGAAGGAUUCUGGGUCUCUGAAUCAUCACUUACAGAAAAAUUACUCUGAGAUCAAGAACAGUUGCUUUGAACUUUAUGUGAAUGAGGAGUAAACUUAUAAUAUUUGGUCCAAACCUGCUUUUCUUUUAGCAUCCUGGCAACCAAGUGCCAUGCAAGAUACACUGAACUCAAAUCUACAGAGACUAUCAAUUGUUGAACAGCAACUUCAGAUCAGUUGAAUAUGAUAGAGAGAGAGGAAUAUUUCCCAGGAGAAAAAAUGUGUAAAUUAAAGUUCCUUCUAGUUCAAAAAUUUUAUAAACCAAUAAACUGGAAUUUGGAUGCGGUAGUAAUACAGAUUGAAGAUAAACCCAAACCUUCUCAACAAGAUAUGUCAUCCACACUGCUGCCAGAGCAUUCUCUCUGAAAUGAUUAUCUGAUCAUCAUCCUCUCUUCUUCUCCACAAGCUGAAACACCUUCAGUGACUGAUUUCAAACUAGGAAUAUUUUUUAGGGUGGCAAAAAUAUGAAUCUUGGGUAUUAGCUUUCUAUCUGGCCUUAUGGUAAAGAAAUAUCAAAACACUGGUAAGUAUCUAAAUACACCUAUGCCUUAUCCAUGCCUCUUAUUUUCGGGAAUGCCUCAUUUCAGAUUGUUGGCUGUAAAACUCUUAAUCGCCAUAAAACUCUUAAAUUUCUCUUUGAAGAUUUUAUGACUCCUUGACUUUUGAAACAUUCUUCACUCUAUAACAUUCAUUAUAUGCAAUUCUUUGUUGUAUAUUAUACUGUAAUAUUAUUAU
rnacentral:lncRNA from 1 species